UACGGAGGGUGCAAGCGUUGUCCGGAAUCACUGGGCGUAAAGGGCUCGUAGGCGGCCAACUAAGUCCGACGUGAAAUCCCCAGGCUUAACCUGGGAACUGCGUCGGAUACUGGAUGGCUUGAAUCCGGGAGAGGGAUGCGGAAUUCCAGGUGUAGCGGUGAAAUGCGUAGAUAUCUGGAGGAACACCGGUGGCGAAGGCGGCAUCCUGGACCGGCAUUGACGCUGAUGAGCGAAAGCCAGGGGAGCAAAACGGG
rnacentral:rRNA from 1 species